rnacentral:tRNA from 1 species
GGGGAAUUAGCUCAAGUGGUAGAGCACUUCCUUUACAUGCAAGAGGUAGUGGGAUUAAUGCCCAUGUUCUCCA